UACGGAGGGGGCGAGCGUUGUUCGGAGUUACUGGGCGUAAAGAGUGCGUAGGCGGUUUUCUAAGUUUGGUGUGAAAUCUCCCGGCUUAACUGGGAGGGUGCGCCGAAAACUGGAAGGCUUGAGUAUGGGAGAGGUAAGCGGAAUUCCUGGUGUAGCGGUGAAAUGCGUAGAUAUCAGGAGGAACACCUGCGGUGUAGACGGCUUACUGGACCAUAACUGACGCUGAGGCACGAAAGCGUGGGUAGCAAACAGG
rnacentral:rRNA from 1 species